rfam:Triticum aestivum genome assembly, contig: Triticum_aestivum_CS42_TGACv1_scaffold_223041_3B
GCUCAGUUGGUAAAGCAAAAGGCUCUUAACCUUGUGGACGUGGAUUCAAGUCCCAU